AGGUCUCAGUGUUGCACAACGUCACUGACCAUGAACAAGAUGAAGAAGCUGCCUGAGAUGAUCCUGAAUCACAUCCUGGAGAUUCUCUACCUGCUGACGGGAGAGCGUGUGACUAACUCACUGACCGUGAGUCACAUGACUGUGGACAAGACGACAACAGAGAGGAUACUGACCCACACCCUGCAGAUCAUGUACCUGCUGACAGGGGAGGAGGAGUGGGAGUAUAUGGAGGGACACAAGGAGCUUUAUAAGGACGCG